GACGAACGCUGGCGGCGUGCUUAACACAUGCAAGUCGAACGGAAAGGCCCUGCUUUUGUGGGGUGCUCGAGUGGCGAACGGGUGAGUAACACGUGAGUAACUUCCCUUUACUUUUGGGUAACUUUCGGGAACUUGGGCUAAUACCCGGAUAGGACCUCUGCUUGCAGGGUGGGGGUUGGAAAGUUUCGGCGGUUGGGGAUGGACUCGCGGCUUAUCAGCUUGUUGGUGGGGUAGUGGCUUACCAAGGCUUUGACGGGUAGCCGGCCUGAGAGGGUGACCGGCCACAUUGGGACUGAGAUACGGCCCAGACUCCUACGGGAGGCAGCAGUGGGGAAUAUUGCACAAUGGGCGGAAGCCUGAUGCAGCAACGCCGCGUGCGGGAUGACGGCCUUCGGGUUGUAAACCGCUUUCGCCUGUGACGAAGCGUGAGUGACGGUAAUGGGUAAAGAAGCACCGGCUAACUACGUG
rnacentral:rRNA from 1 species